rnacentral:snRNA from 1 species
CUCUGAGACCACCCAAUUUCC